CCAAUAGCGUAUAUUAAAGUUGUUGCAGUUAAAAAGCUCGUAGUUGAAUUUUGGGUUUGGCCGAUUGGUCCGUUCUUGUAGCGAGUACUGGUCGGUUGGGCCUCACCGCUUGGGGAAGGGUAAUGUCCUUUAUUGGGUGUUGCUCGGAGCCAAGACCUUUACCUUGAAAAAAUUAGAGUGUUUAAAGCAGGCUUAUUCCGGAAUACAUUAGCAUGGAAUAAUAGAAUAGGACAACGAUUCUAUUUUGUUGGUUUCUAGGACCGUUGUAAUGAUUAAUAGGGAUAGUUGGGGACAUUAGUAUUCAAUUGUCAGAGGUGAAAUUCUUGGAUUUAUUGAAGACUAACUACGGCGAAAGCAUUUGUCAAGGAUGUUUUCAUUAAUCAAGAACGAAAGUUAGGGGAUCGAAGACGAUCAGAUACCGUCGUAGUCUUAACCAUAAACUAUGCCGACUAGGGAUCGGGCGAUGUUGUUUCAAUGACUCGCUCGGCACCUUAUG
rnacentral:rRNA from 1 species